GGAGCCAUGUGAUUCACUUAACAACCACAUGAUUUGCUUAACAACUGCCACAAAAAAUGUAAAGUUAGAUGCAGUCAUGUAAUGACAUGCUUAAAGAUCGCACUGCUUAACAAUGAAUUUUCCAGUUUCUAUUGCGGUCGUAAGUUGAGGACUACCUGUAUAUAUGUGCGCUAUGUUAGGGCUUCUCCUCUGUCAGAAGGUCCUUUCAAGCUUAUUGGGUGUUGGCAUCCUGUACCGCAUUGAACAGCACCCAGCCAGCAGCACUAGAGCAUCUGAAUUUAAUUGCCAUUUUGAUUUCCCAUAAUGCCCUGUGGUGUUGCUGUGCCAGUGGCAUUGUGGGAAAGGGAUAGGGCAGCUAGAUUCAUCACCCAGCAUUGCUCAAAGUGUGGACCUAUCCUUUUUUUUAUUAUUAUUAUCAAAGGACUCUGCUCUCAUCAGUCACCUGCUUACUCCAGCUCCAGGUUAAAUAGGUUUUAAAAUGACUCUGAAAAAUGAGGGGAAAGGAAAGGGCGUGAGAUCUUUGUGUUAUUCAUCCAUUUAUGGUCAUUGUGUGUGUUUCAAGGAAGAGAACUGUGCAGUAAAUAGGCUCUCUCCUAUCAUCGGGCAAAGAUUCUAGCAAAGUUGAUAAAGGGGAAUAUAAUAUUUUUAAAAAUAUGGAAGGCUCUGCAAAACAAACAUUUUGCUAAGAACAAGAAACUAAUAAAAACCAAGCCCUACUUCGCACAGUUGGAGGCGGUUGCAUGGAUGUCCUUCUAAAAUAAAGAGGUUAGAUACUGACCUUUUUUAUUCCUCUCCCCAUCUGGAAUUAGGAAGAAGGGAAACUUCUCCUCUGUGCACUCAACGUGCCACGUUCUUCGUGAAUAUUCUGCAUCUCUGGGCAGUGCUUUUGAACCCGUGAAUGAAACUCAGGGAGACCCUGAGUUAAUUCGAUGAUGAUAUUUCUGAGUCCUACUUGGGCUUUUGGUCGGCCUGGGAGGUACAUUGCUGAUACAGUUCUGCACAAUUUCUCCGUGAAACCUUUGGCCAGUGUAGAUAUACCUUGGUUUAAUGUCUAUAACCAGGGCACAAGAAACUGAAAUCAUCACAUUGAAAUCAUCACAGUUGAAAUCAUCUUAUUUAUCCCUGUGUCAAUUCCCCAUUCUUCGAUUUCACCUGUGCAGAGUUUUAGACUGUAAAUUCUAUGGGCAGAAACCUCUUUUCCAGUACUUUUUAAACUCUAUGCCUACUAAUGUAAUGCCAGGAGCAAUUAAAAUAGAACAUCGAAGAAUAACAAGUAGUAAAAUUACCCUCAGGGCCCACCCAGCUCUAUAACUGCACGGAUAUAUCCGUGCAGUUUUCUUCACGGUUUGCUAUGCCUUCUUCCAAGAUGACUUUACAACUUCCUCAUUUAACCUAAGCUUUGGAAUGUCCUAGUGGUCUCCUGUCCAAGGUCUCACUUAUCCGAUUCUGCUUUUUUUAAUUCAGUCAAGAUUGGCCAGGUACUACAAUGACCCAAUAGCAAGUAAGCUAGACAAAACCCAUUUCCUUGUAUUAUGUAGCUGCCUCACCCCAAGUUUGUACACAAGAAAAUAUUAAGCAAUAGGAAACAGGAAAAUAUUAAACAUCUCUGAGUAAAGGGCAGAGUAACUACACUAGCUGAAUGCAAUUAAAUUUAGCCACGUCGCUGCUUCGCUAGAACAUUUAAAGUCUCCUUCAAGGGCACCACGGCCAUAAGGAAGUGGUAUGUCGCUGGCACUUUCUGAUACUCAAAUCAUUUAUUACAGCCAUGUUGCUUUUUCCAUCUCCCCGAUCUAGCCUACGGCUCUGGGAUUUUCUGAUGGAGCCCCGUCCAAUACUAACCAGGCCCUACCUUGCUUAAUUUCUAAGUCCAGACCAACUACGGUUUUUAAACUGAUGUAAAAAAAUGGAAGCCUCCGACAAAGAAUUAACUAAUUAUGAGUGCAUUUCAGCCUAAUUUAUGAGGCUUAAGCCAAUCGCUUUCCUAGACUUAGGGAAGAGUUGUUCAAAUCCUAGUGGGAUUUGUUUCUAAGAAAAGAGACAUUAACUGCGCUGGGCUUAACAGUGGUUGGGAUAUUUACUUACAGGCCUGUGUUGUGAUUCGUGCUCUGAUUGCAUGAAUAGGGAUCGCUUGAUUUUGCUGUUACAGCAAGACAAAAUGGGCCACUUUUUGAUGGCUGAGGACUGGAGCCGCAGUAGAGCGAUGAGGACGCCAAGGGAAGCUAGGUGGAAAUGAUUCAGAGAGGUACAGAAAGACAUUUGGGAUUUCAUAUCACUAAAGCUGUUUUUUGUUUUUCUGACCACAUCCUUGGAUAAACUGCAUUCUUGGGUGAAAAUUAAAAAUGGAAGUUAUCCAGGACAACAAUGGCUCGCUGUGAUGUCUGGAAACAGCCACGGUUUUGCAGCGUUUCCCAGCUGGAGCAAUUUCCAGAAGUAUGGCGUUUGCCUCCCAGAAUUCUCUGCUGGCUGAGGGAUUCUGGGAGUUGAUUCUGGGCACCCAGGUUUGCAAAUCCCUGAGAAGCUUGCCGGCUGUCUUUCGAAUUUGUAAAAGAGCAGGUCUUGACUUGAUGCAGGUAGCAGGCGCUUUUAAAAAAAAAUGUGCGCGCUUGUUAAAAUACGCGCAGUCGGAUCUCCCUCCGAAUGCAUGUGGCUUUAUUCCUUGGGAAGGGGAUGUGUUUUUUGCAUCGCUGCCUCCACCGCCUCGCCAUCCUGUUGAUGACCCUCUUCUGCUUCCGCGAGAGAACCGUGUCUCCGAGCGAGCCCUGUGUUGCUCACCCACCUUCCCCAAAACCACUCCCUUUCUCUUUGAAUGAAUGGGAAAGCGGUCUUGCGGGGAUUCCUGUGCGCCAAAGCAUCCGGGGGCCCAGCCCUUCCAGCUUUUGUAUGCCGUUCUGCGCCUUCUCACCCAACAGACAGUCUUCUUUCAGAGAAGCCGGAACUGAGAGAAGAUGCUUCCUUUUUCCACACCGCUUGGAAAGACGGAGUGACUUGAUCCUUUCACGGCCUCUCCAGAAGAUCGCAGGGAGCGUCGUCUGCUGCGCGUUGAUGCUGCAGCUUGCAGAACGUGGCUGCUGUAACCAUCCCGGGGAAAAAAGGGGGGGAGAAAAAAGGGAGUCUCCCCCCCCACUCCCUUGAAACUGACUUUCUUUUGUGUGUCUGCCUCUGGAUUUCUCCGCCUGCCUUCUCCAUCUGCCAACUGAAACGAGGAAGGGAUGUGAACGCUCGGCUGGGAGAGCAGAUUCUGUGCGGAAGGUCAAGCUGUGAUCCUUCGUGGAAACAGGACAAGCUCUGGGAAAUGAAGCCACAGGGGGGAUGUCGCAGGUGACCUUCCUGGAGUGAAGAUGUCCUCCCUGGAUCCUCUGCCUCCCGCCACUCCUCCC